rnacentral:rRNA from 1 species
GAUGAACGCUGGCGGCGUGCCUAAUACAUGCAAGUCGAGCGAACGGACGAGAAGCUUGCUUCUCUGAUGUUAGCGGCGGACGGGUGAGUAACACGUGGAUAACCUACCUAUAAGACUGGGAUAACUUCGGGAAACCGGAGCUAAUACCGGAUAAUAUUUUGAACCGCAUGGUUCAAAAGUGAAAGACGGUCUUGCUGUCACUUAUAGAUGGAUCCGCGCUGCAUUAGCUAGUUGGUAAGGUAACGGCUUACCAAGGCAACGAUGCAUAGCCGACCUGAGAGGGUGAUCGGCCACACUGGAACUGAGACACGGUCCAGACUCCUACGGGAGGGAGCAGUAGGGAAUCUUCCGCAAUGGGCGAAAACCUGACGGAGCAACGCCGCGUGAGGGAUGAAGGUCUUCCGAUCGUAAAACUCUGUUAUUAGGGAAGAACAUAUGUGUAAGUAACUGUGCACAUCUUGACGGUACCUAAUCAGAAAGCCACGGCUAACUACGUG